GCCUCCCCUCCCGUCCGCCGACUCACGACUACUACGAGAGGCAGCAGUGGGGAAUUUUGCGCAAUGGGGGAAACCCUGACGCAGCAACGCCGCGUGGAGGAUGAAGUACUUCGGUACGUAAACUCCUUUCGAUCGGGACGAUAAUGACGGUACCCGGAAGAAGAACGCCCGGCUAACUUCGUGCCGAGCAGCCGCGGUAAUUAC
rnacentral:rRNA from 1 species